CAAACCCCUAACAUAAAAACUUCAGAGAACAAAGUAACUGGCCUCCACCUUCAGCAACAUCAGAGUAUCAGCAACGGCGCCUCCACCUCCGCCGACACCGACCGUCCUCCGCCUCCACCUUCCGACCACCUCCACCAUUGUUCAUUCUGUCAAAUCUUUUCUGGAUUUUCUAGGUGUAUUUCUUGUAAAUUUUGGAGAAAAAAGAGACGGAGAUAAAUGGUGGGAUAUGAAAAAAUAUUGACUUUAGUGAUAAUGCCCGAUCCGACCCGAAAAUUCGAACAUUUGAGUUGACCAAAACUUAAACACCUAAAAAGUGAACCCAGUGAAAAAAAUUUCUGGAUCCGCCACUGCUUGAAAGCAAGAUUCCCUAUAUUAAAGAGGAUGACAUCAUUUUCCAUUGCAUGUUUCGCGCUACAUAAUUUUAUAAGGAAAGAGGGUUUGAGCGAUGAGUUGUUUACAAACUACGAUCAACCCAAUGUGUCGUUACAUAAUAGGCAAGUGCACGUUAACGAUGAUGAAGACGAGGUUGAAGCACAUGGUACUGCAUCGGAUCGGGAAUAUAUGACUCAGUUAUGAGAUGAGAUUGCUGGGCAGUUAAUGCAAAGUCCAAUAAAUGAUUUAAAAAAAUGUUAAUUGUGUUUUAUGAAUAUUAUUUUAGCAUUCUAUAACUAUUAUUUAAAUUUGUAUGUUGAAAAACUCUUUUAAGUUUAAUAAAUCAGUUUAUUUUUAUUUUA